UGAGGAAUAUUGGUCAAUGGGGGCAACCCUGAACCAGCCAAGUCGCGUGAAGGAUGAAGGUCUUAUGGAUUGUAAACUUCUUUUAUCUGGGACGAAAACGGGAUUUUUAUCUCAAUUGACGGUACCAGAGGAAUAAGCACCGGCUAACUCCGUGCCAGCAGCCGCGGUAAUACGGAGGGUGCGAGCGUUAUCCGGAUUUACUGGGUUUAAAGGGUGCGUAGGUGGGCUUAUAAGUCAGUGGUGAAAUCUCCGAGCUUAACUUGGAAACUGCCGUUGAUACUAUAGGUCUUGAAUUAUCUGGAGGUAAGCGGAAUAUGUCAUGUAGCGGUGAAAUGCUUAGAUAUGACAUAGAACACCAGUUGCGAAGGCAGCUUACUACAUAUAAAUUGACGCUGAGGCACGAAAGCGUGGGGAUCAAACA
rnacentral:rRNA from 1 species